rnacentral:rRNA from 1 species
ACUUUUAAAAUUAUUUUAAUUGUUGUUGUUAAAUUAAUAUUUUAUUUAUUAUUGUUUUUUGAAAUGUUUUUGUUAUGAUAGUUUAUUUUUACAGUGGUGGUGGUUUUUAGAGUGAGAAAAAGAAUAAUUUAUUUUUAGUACCUUUUGUAUCAGGGUUCAAUAAAAAUUUCUUAUUUAUUUAAUUUUCCCGAAUUUUUAAGAGUUAAUAAAAUAUUUAUUUUAAUGUUGAAUAAUUAUUUAUAAUGUUUUGUUAGAAGUGAAACGCUAUUCGAUUAUUAAUUUAUCUGGUUUCUGUAGAAAUAAAUUUAAUUUAUUUAGCAAUGUUAUUUUAUGUUUUUAUAUUUAUUUUUUGUUGCUAUUAAAGAUUUAAGGGGAUAAGCUCUUAAUUUUUUUUAUAACUUUGUUUUUGGUAAAUUGGUUAAUAGGAAUAGAAUUUUUCAUUAUUAGGAUUAUGUAUUAAUUCACUUUUUUUGUUUAUUAUUUUUAGCUUGUUUAGGUUUUUUAUUCAGAUUGUUUUUAUAAUUUUUUUAAUUUUGUAAUAAUGUUGGAAUUAGUAAAGUUUUUGUAAGUUUUUUUUCCUGUUAAAGGUUAAAAAAAGGAACUCGGCAAAUUUUUCCUCCGCCUGUUUACUAAAAACAUGUCUUUUUGUUUUUAUUUAAAGUCUAGUCUGCUCACUGAUUUUUAAAGAGCCGCGGUAUUUUGACCGUGCGAAGGUAGCAUAAUAAUUAGUUUUUUUAUUGGAAACUGGAAUGAACGAUUGGACGAGAGGAAUACUGUCUCUUUUUAAUUUUAUUGAAUUUUACUUUUGAGUUAAAAGGCUCAAAUUUUUUUAAAAGACGAGAAGACCCUAUAGAGUUUUAUUGUUUUGCUUUUUUAAGGUUUGUGGUAAGUUUUUUUUUGAAGGGGUAAAGCAUUUUUGUUGGGGUGACAGAAAAAUUUAAUUAACUUUUUUUAUAUUUAGACACUAAUUUGUGGAUUAUUGAACCAAUAUUUUUGAUUUUAAGAUAAAUUACCUUAGGGAUAACAGCGUAAUUUUUUUUGAGAGUUCUUAUCGAAAAAAAAGUUUGCGACCUCGAUGUUGGAUUAAAAUUUAAUUUUGGUGUAGAAGCUAAAUAUUUAAGUCUGUUCGACUUUUAAAAUUUUACAUGAUCUGAGUUUAGACCGGCGUGAGCCAGGUUAGUUUCUAUCUUUAGAAUGAUUAAUCAUUUUAGUACGAAAGGACCAAUUGAUUGUUUUAUAAGUUUUAUUUUGAAUAUAAG